rnacentral:misc_RNA from 1 species
CACUUCCAACCUUAAGAUGCCCCCUAACAAGAAAUUGAGAAAGGAAGUGAAACAUCUCCGACAUUGUUUAAGGCUACACUACCUACAUCUUUAUGAUUACGCGUUCAUUUUUUGCCCAAAAGAAAUUUAAAAGGAAGGUUCAAUAUUGAUAAUAACCCUACUAAAAGCAAAGCAAAGCAAUCCAUCAUCAGGAACACAAAAUGUCAACAAAAUAGAACUAAAAAUAAGAAAUUAAGACGAGACUAAUUAAAAUUAAAUACAUUCUCAACAAGGCAAACAGGAACAACAAACAGAACAAAUACAGAUACGAAAACAACAACCAUACACCAAACAACAAAUACAUCAAAAGCAAAAAGAAGAGAACAACAAACCCGACAAACCCAACAAGAACAAGAACAAGAACAAG